AAGCCAGUUGUGUCCAAUCGUACUAUGUCUAAUCGGAGGUGUCUCGAGGCAGUUACAAUAUUUAAGAUGACGGAAACCAUGGAGAAGUUCACUCUCAUCGAUGCAAAAAAUAACGAAGAAUAUAAAAUUUUAUUAUCGAUUACAGAUGCUGCAAGAGCAAAAAAUGAUAAUGAAUUUGCUUAUUCAUUAUUGCGUCAAGCAAAAAAAUAAAGAAGAUACAUUUACAGAUACAGAUGCAAGAUAUGAUGAAGUGAGACAUGAUGAAACAGAGGCAAUUCAAAUCUGAUGAUACUGCAAACUGCAGUACUGAAAUCGAUACAAAAGGUAAAAAAAUUAAAAAAAUAAUUUUCAAACGAAAGAACAUGUAUUAUAUUUAUGUAUUAUAUGUUAUAUACAUGUAUUAUAUGUAUUAUAUUUUAUCUGUUUAACAUUAUAUUCUAUAUCUGUUUAACAUUUUAUAUUCUAUUUUUGUCUGUUUACAACAUAU